GGUAGAAGUGAGGGCUUUAGGAAACACUCCUUCCCAUACCGAACAGGAAAGUUAAGCUCUAUAGCGCCAAUGGUACUGCAUGGGAGACUGUGUGGGAGAGUAGGACGUUGCCAGGU
rnacentral:rRNA from 1 species